rnacentral:rRNA from 1 species
GCGAAAGAAACGAAGAGCGAACGGAGGAUGCCUUGGCUAUCCGGAGGCGAUGAAGGACGUGGUAAGCUGCGAUAAGGCGCGGGGAUCUGCAAACAGGACUUGAUUCGCGCAUUUCCGAAUGGGGGAACCCACAUGGUUGAAGACCAUGUACCACCGUUAAGGUGGAGCGAACCCGGGGAACUGAAACAUCUUAGUACCCGGAGGAGAAGAAAGAAAUUAUCGAUACCCUGAGUAGUGGCGAGCGAAAGGGGCAGAGCCUAAACCGGUGCGUUUACGGACGCGUCGGGGUUGUAGGAGUCUCUACCAAGUUUUACCAGGAAAACAGAACGCUGUGGAAACAGCGACCGGAGAGGGUGACAGUCCCGUACGGGUAACCGUGGUAGAACGCUGAGACCACCUGAGUAGGGCGGGGCAAGUGGAAUCCUGUCCGAAUCUG